GAUGAACGCUGGCGGCGUGCUUAACACAUGCAAGUCGAACGAGAAUCAACGGAUUGAGGAUUCGUCCAAAUGAAGUUGAGGAAAGUGGCGGACGGGUGAGUAACACGUAAGCAACCUGCCUAUCAGAGGGGAACAACAGUUAGAAAUGACUGCUAAUACCGCAUAUGCCUUAGCAACACAUGUUGCAAAAGGGAAAGGAGCAAUCCGCUGAUAGAUGGGCUUGCGUCUGAUUAGCUAGUUGGUGGGGUAACGGCCUACCAAGGCGACGAUCAGUAGCCGGACUGAGAGGUUGAACGGCCACAUUGGGACUGAGAUACGGCCCAG
rnacentral:rRNA from 1 species